rnacentral:misc_RNA from 1 species
CGUCAGCCCACCUCUCGGUCCGUACAGUAUCUAUACACUACUGUCAAAGCCGGCAGUUGUACAUGUGUUCGGGGAUACAACAGACUUGUGUUAUAUAACAGGUUACGUGAUCUGUGUCAAUCAGUUGUUUUAUUUCGUGUCGGAUACUUGUUUGUGUUUACUUGGACCACAGGUGGACCGAAUCAGACCCAAGACGAACUGUAAAAUAGCGCCACAGCCUACACCGCAUGUAAACAUGUGACCGACAUGUGUGGUACACGUAUAUUUAUUACCUGUACAGUGUAAGAACCUUCUCUCAAAAUCAGAAUUUAUUUACAAAGCCACAAAGAUGCCUACACCAAGCUGGCCGAAUGCUGGCAUAGGACCCGAUGGGUUCUCGUUUCCAUCUACAUUCCAAGAUAGUUUUCACAAGCCAGUCCAAAUUGAUGAAGACGUCGAACCUGAAAACACCAACGAAAGAAACUCGGAGCAAAAUAGACUGGAUAGAGUUCGAAAAGGAUCUGCCUUGAUCAUCAACAUUCCACAGUCUAGCGGUUAUGACAGUUAUGACGAAAAUCCGAAAAGCAUUAAAUCAAAUAUGCUUAACAUGGAUAUUGAACAAAAUAAUACUGAUGAUAAUCAACUUGAACAAAAACAGUUUUUAGAUUCUGCAGACGGACAAGGCGAGGCCGAAAGACGGAAAAAGAGGAAGAUAUUUAAAUGUUAUUUGUCUAAAUGUAGAUUAGCGUUUGCUUCAGUGGCAGGGAUCUUUGUACUAUUCAUUGUGAUAUUUGGAGCGAUUUAUUUAGCAAAACAUUUGGAUUCUGAUGAUGACAAGGAUAGUGAUGACAUUUCCACAAAACCACUUCAAGUUGAUAUUAAUGAUAUUGUUACAACACCAAAACCUCCAAUUAACACAGACAUCUCACCCUCGAAGGAUCCCAACCACCCAGUAGUGGCGAUUAAGAUGGUUGUGGACGAAAAUUAUGCACAAAACGGUAAAGGUCACCUAGUGCUGUGGAAAGCACCCCAGGGUAAACACGUCCACCAGGGAAUCACCUAUAACAACGGCUCCUUCACAGUACCGGUCGACGGGUUCUACAGUUACAAAUCCACUCUCAAAUUUGACACCCGCAAAGACAACUUGGAAUCCGAAAAAGAACUCCAUUUCCACCAUUGUAUUAACAUCAAUGGCACACAGAAAAGUACUUGCACAACAAAUGGAAUUCCAGUGAAUGCAAUUCGAACCAAUACCGCGCAAGAUUCUUGGGUGUACAUACGCGCAGGACAGGAAGUGUACGUCACAAUUAAUAAAGUCGGUUUUAUUUCGGAUUCAAGCGACAGCAAUACAUUCACAAUGAGUUUACAUUCGGGUUCGAAGGAAUCUCGGUGAGCCACUUCCGGUAAUCAUCCUAAAAAACGGAUAUGUGUAACUCUUUACUGAUAUGAAAUCGACUUCCCCGUCGAUGAGGUUGCCAUAGUUACUUCCGGUAAUCAUCCUAAAAAACGGAUAUGUGUAACUCUUUACUGAUAUGAAAUCGACUUCCCCGUCGAUGAGGUUGCCAUAGUUACCGAGCGCUGCAAUUGGACAUCUUGGCAUUAUUCCAGAAAAUGAAGGUCAUUUCAUAUUGAAAUUGACUCCAUGAUGACCAUGCGUCAGUUCUGCGCAGUGCAGAAAAUGUGACGUGAUGGCAUCACACAAAGGUCGGUGGAACGUACUUUUGACUCGCUUUUCAAGCAUUUUUCGUGUUGUAGACGAAACUCGUGAAAGAGAUCUGUCAAUUUAAGUAUCCGUCCUUAAGGAAAUGGAUGCCUUCUUUUCCAGGACCGGAAAAAAACAUUGACCUUUGUUUUCUAACAGACUUGUGAAAAGCGCAGUCGGAGAACUGACAUUUGAACUGUGAUUUUAUAAAUCACUUGGCUUGAAGAGCUCUGAUCAAUAUACAAUUGAUUGCCUUGAAAAAUCAAACAUUCAUUCGUUGCGAUUUUAUUUGAAACCUAGUUUUCCAUAAAACUGAGAACCUUUCCAAGGAAUUGAUGUUGGUUGUUAACUUGUCAGCAAGAGCUGAUAACUCUGAAAAAUAGCAUUAAAUCCGUAGUUAUUUCGAAGACAGCUGCUGUUGCGGAUGUUGAAUGUGUACGAUCAAAACUGGACAUUGCGUGUCUUGGGCCAGCAAAUAAAUCUGUUGCAUGCAAUGAAUGAAAAUAG